ensembl:lncRNA
GUGGAUUUAACCUCGCCUUGAAAAGCACUCGCAUAACUAGCUGUGACCGUGGCUUUGCAGUGGGAUAAAUCAGGCUAAGUCACCGCCAGAAGUAAACAGCUAAAGUCCUUUCAUGUUUACCAAGUAAAGUCCUCUGCUCCAUGUUGACAGGUGAGAGUUCAUAGGAGCAAAGUUGGUCCCCUCCCGAUGGAGCUGCGAGCCUGAGUGUGUAACCCCCCAAGAAAUGAUUCCAUUUUACCUUGACCACAAAAACAAGUGCACAUUUUCCUCCUGCAUCCUCAUCUCCGCCGUGAAAGCUGAAUACAUUAAGUCCUGGACAUGAGGCCCAACAAGGACUUCAGACUCCUACUCACUUAUUACACUCGAAUCCCGAAAUCCUCCUCUCCUCUCCUCUGUCCUGUCUCCUAAACCUUUUUAUUCAGGGACCCGGAGACCUCUCCGGAACAAAACAGCUUUUAGCGCUACCAUCUCGCCCUGCUUAUGAUUUCGCAAAUCUCUCUCUCUCUCUCUCCCCCCCCCCCCCCCCCCCUCUCUCUCUCUCUCUCUCUCUGUGUCGCUCUCUCAUUUCUCCAAAAACUGUCUCUCUGAAAAGAAAUGAGCUGUUGUAGGAGCUCAUCAAGUCAUUAUCUGAUUAAGGUCAUUUUAUAACUGCUGCUCAAGAGAUUUCUUCUUCUGCCAAAUAAUAUUCAUUCUUUCAUUAAUUCAGGAAACUUAAAUUCAUGAAAUCUCCACCGGCUUAAUAAUAAUA